rnacentral:rRNA from 1 species
UACGUAGGUGGCAAGCGUUGUCCGGAUUUACUGGGCGUAAAGAGCGCGCAGGCGGUUGGGCAAGUCGCGUGUGAAAGCCCCCGGCUCAACUGGGGAGGGUCACGCGAUACUGUUCGACUUGAAGGCAGGAGAGGGAAGUGGAAUUCCCGGUGUAGUGGUGAAAUGCGUAGAUAUCGGGAGGAACACCAGUGGCGAAGGCGACUUCCUGGCCUGUUCUUGACGCUGAGGCGCGAAAGCUAGGGUAGCAAACGGG